rnacentral:rRNA from 1 species
AGCAGCCGCGGUAAUUCCAGCUCCAAUAGCGUAUAUUAAAGUUGUUGCAGUUAAAAAGCUCGUAGUUGAAUUUCGGGAUCAAAGGAUCGGUCAUGCCUUGGUAUGUACUGGUUUUAUUGGUUCUCACCUUCUAAAGAACCAUAAUGUCAUUCAUUUGAUGUUAUGGGGAAUUAGGACUGUUACCUUGAAAAAAUUAGAGUGUUUAAAGCAGGCUUACGCUUGAAUACAUUAGCAUGGAAUAAUGAAAUAGGACAUCAGAUUCUAUUUUGUUGGUUUCUAGGAUCGAUGUAAUGAUUAAUAGGGAUAGUUGGGGCAUUAGUAUUCAAAUUGUCAGAGGUGAAAAUUCUUGGAUUUAUUGAAGACUAACUACUGCGAAAGCAUUUGCCAAGGAUGUUUUCAUUAAUCAAGAACGAAAGUUAGGGAUCGAAGACGAUCAGAUACCGUCGUAGUCUUAACCAUAAACUAUGCCGACUAGGAUCGGAUGAUGUUAAUUUAUAAUGAUC